rnacentral:lncRNA from 1 species
GUUGAUGUCACCGAUGUUGUAGAUGGAAAUUAUUGAGUGGAAAUUUAUAUACAUUAUUAGACCUAACCAGGAACAGCCAUGAAAAUGCAACUUUAGGCCUCUGGCAAGAAUCGAACCUGUGGCCCUGCAGCGCUCUAACCGACUGAGCUAUAUAGAGGCUUGUUGCCGAGCUCUAACCACAAGUACUGCCAUGUGUAGGUUAUGGGUAAAUAUCAAGAUUUUGUUGGCUCAAUUCUCUAUUUAGACAUAUAUAUGUGUUUGUUUUCAUAGAUAUUUGGACAUGUGCAGUAGAGGCAUAAAUAAAUCUAAGUAACUUUUGACACACUUUAAGCAACCUUGGUAGAAACAAAAUAAAACUUAGUGACCAAGAACAAAUAUGUAUAUGGCGGAAGAUGUUUGACCAACCUUCUCUGGCUAGAUAUUUUUAUUUACAAGCUUUCUGCUGUCAGACCUGUAGCCUUCAACGUGUGAAAGAAUAUAAGAGGAACAAAAAAAAUAUGUGAAAGAAUAUUAAUAUAAAGAACAAAAAGAAUAUAAAGGGAUGAAAAGAAAAAGAAUAUAAAGGCUAUUAAAAAAAUUUAAAAAUAAAAGAGUAAAUAAAAAGUCUAGCUACAGCAUUCAUGUUAUUAUAAGUAAUAGCAUGGCAUUCAGGGCGAUUAGUGAUUAAAUGUACCCGAAAGCCGAGAGAGGUUUAGUAAGCGCCGAGGGACUUUUAGUAAACCUCUCGAGGCUUGAGGGACAUUUCAUCACUAAUCGAUCGUAAUGCCAUGCUAUUACUUUGUAAUAUCAUAGUUAACGAGGGAAUCGCGCGUGGUGUGUUGCCUGUUUUGAAUGCUGUUUGAUUGUCUUAUGAUUGUGGUACGAACACUUUUCAUAUAUACGCACGCGCAAAAACACAUCUCCGCGUUCAUUGGCGUUUUAGGCAUGCGCAUAAACGUAAUUUUCUCCCACAAUUGAAAUGUUCAAGAUUAGGGAAUAAAAGCUGGCAAAGUGAUUGUUCGAAUGUGUACGGGACGGUGUCGUCAGAUACUGUCCAUAGUUGUGCCGAUGAUUUUCGAUGAGGUACAGCUCUCCAAUCAGAGGUAAUGAGGUACGCUUUUGUCUUCUAAAUUUCCCUCAUCAAGCAUGCAGGGGAAAAUUAGAAGACAAAGAAAUCCUUUGUUUUCAACUAAAUUUCCCUCAUCAAGCAUGCAGGGGAAAAUUAGAAGACAAAGAAAUCCUUUGUUUUCAACUAAAUUUCCCAGGGAAAUUUAGAAGAUAAAAGCGUAUGCAUGCAUGGGUAAUGAGGGAAAUACGUGAUUAAACGUCCCUGUUGAAACAAAAGAAACCGAGUUAACUAUGAUAUUAUUCAUUAAGAACGAAUAUCUCACACAUUCUCGAUGAAUAACAAUCUUACUAGCAAUGUUGUGAACUCGGUUGUUAAUUUUAUGUGUGAUAUAAUGGAUUAGGUAACAAGAACUUGUUAUUUCGGUCGUUAGCUGCAGAAGCAGUGACAGAUAAAUUAUUGCAUAAUGUCGGGUGCAAAUUUAAGUCACCAACAUGUAUGGAGUGCCAAAGCGGUC